AUCAAUAAGCGGAGGAAAAGAAACCAACCGGGAUUGCCUUAGUAACGGCGAGUGAAGCGGCAAAAGCUCAAAUUUGAAAUCUGGUACCUUCGGUGCCCGAGUUGUAAUUUGGAGAGGGCAACUUUGGGGCCGUUCCUUGUCUAUGUUCCUUGGAACAGGACGUCAUAGAGGGUGAGAAUCCCGUGUGGCGAGGAGUGCGGUUCUUUGUAAAGUGCCUUCGAAGAGUCGAGUUGUUUGGGAAUGCAGCUCUAAGUGGGUGGUAAAUUCCAUCUAAAGCUAAAUAUUGGCGAGAGACCGAUAGCGAACAAGUACAGUGAUGGAAAGAUGAAAAGAACUUUGAAAAGAGAGUGAAAAAGUACGUGAAAUUGUUGAAAGGGAAGGGCAUUUGAUCAGACAUGGUGUUUUGUGCCCUCUGCUCCUUGUGGGUAGGGGAAUCUCGCAUUUCACUGGGCCAGCAUCAGUUUUGGUGGCAGGAUAAAUCCAUAGGAAUGUAGCUUGCCUCGGUAAGUAUUAUAGCCUGUGGGAAUACUGCCAGCUGGGACUGAGGACUGCGACGUAAGUCAAGGAUGCUGGCA
rnacentral:rRNA from 1 species